GAGAGAAUAAUCUUUGAGAAUGACUGGAGUUGAUUCAUCCUGUUGGGGGCAGACUGAAGAGGUCAGAGGCCAGCGCUCAGUUCCUUCUCCUGAGAGUCUCAGUACUACUAGUGCAUCCUCUGGAAUUGUCCCCAGUUCUCGGGGUGAAGAGGUAGCAUGCCAGCUCCUGGCCACAGCAUGUCCGUGACUAAGGGCACGUCUCUGAGUGCUCUCAGCUGUCCACUUGGCUUCCCAAGACAGUUCAACCCUUUGGCUGCACAGACCUUGCCAUGGGCCAUCCUGGGAACUGACCGAUCACGGAUAAAGGCGAGUCUUGCUAUGGAUUGGAAGUAAUUUAAAUUAAAAGCUGCCCUGUGGGGGAAAACCCUAUGAUUCCUUCCAGACAGAAAAUCAUCUUUUAAAUCUGUGACUUCAUUCUCAGUGACUGGCUUUAUUCUUUUCUUGAUUCCCUUCAUUUGAUCUGCGAUCUAGGGAGUAGCACACCAUCAUAUGUGCAUUCUAAUGAUAGAAAGCGUGGAAGGGGUAGAGAGGAGACAGGGAAGGACUAGGCAGAUGGCCCCAGACAAAUGGGUGGGUUUUGGGGAAGCUGGAGUGGAGAUCAGGACCUGAGGCUGAGGCACACCAUGGAGUCUCAUUGAUGGAGGAAGCCCCGCAGAGGCAAGGGUGGUACUCAGAUGCCCAGGGCUCACAUCAAUACCAGGGAGCGAGCAGCAAGACUGCUAGGAAUCACCUGGUGGUCACUGAAAAGCUGCUGACACCCAGUUCCCGUGGCUGGGUGGGAGUUGGCCUGCUGAUGGUUGGCCUGGAAUUCUAGUGGCUGAACGGGGCUAGGUAGAGGAAAGGGCUGAGAAAUGUAGAAGAUGAAAUAAGCAUUUCACUUCUCCGGAAGUACAUGGCAGUGUUAUAACAGCAGGCCCUGCCUGGCCCUGCUUUCUCAGAGUGCAGGGUAAAGUUGUCUUCCAGGGAUGGGUCUGACACCGCUGCCUGGAAGAAUGACUGCAGGAGUAGGGAAGGAGGCAGUGGGUGGUACAGAUAGGGCAGGGAACCUAGGUUAGAUAGGGGCAGACAGUAGCUUUUCCUCUCCAGCAAUAGUUAUGCUCAUUGACUAUGAUCAACUCUGGGACAGGAAAUAUGUAAUAUGGAGCUGCUGAAAUGCUGAAACACUGAGAUCGUGGUGCAGGCAGACAGCAAUGAAAUCUGGGGUAUAGGGAGGAACCGGUAGCUGAAUUUCCAUGUAACUGGUUCAAUAUGGGAGAUGGUUCAGAAGGCCGAUGUCCAGAUUUUUAAGAAAUUCAGGUCACGUAGAUGCUUCUUCUGUUAAAGUAGCUGGGAGCCCAGCAGUCCCGAUUCUCUGCUCUCAACUGCCGCUCCACUUAGGCUGGUGACCACAUGACGCCACAAGCCAUCUGCCUUCAGACCUGCCUCCGGCUCCACCUGCCGCAGCCUGCCUUUUUCUCAUUCCACCUCCAUCUCCAGGGUGGCCCAUCUACAAGGCUCAGCUCGAGCCCCCAUCUCCUUUUACAAGCUUUCUGCCACAGUUUCACAUUUUUACCCAUCAUUAUGUGGGUAAAAAUUACUAUGUACUUUAUUGGGAGAGGAAAAAUGAGGCAAAGUGUCUGAAAAUACCCAUUAAACACCAAAAGGCUAUACAAUAUUAGAAAGUUACAUUUUAUUAGUAGUCAUUAUAAUCACAAGAAUAUAUUCUAUUUUAUGUAAUAAUAUGAAUAAUCGACAUUGUAUAUUAUUUUGUAACAAUGUUUCACUUGCAUUAGCCUUAUCUUCUCAGCCAGCUGGUGAACUCCUUGAGGGAAGGGAUUCCGUCUUCUGUUAGCAAACAUUGUUGCUUCUGCCAACACAUUGCUGAGUGAAGUCUCCAGGGAGAAGCAGCUUCCUGGGCAUGCGUGUUAAGAGACAAAAACGGUCACCUGUGAUCUUUCGGAGGCACACGCCACCAGAAAAGGGAAGAAAGCUUCAGAUAGGCACGUGGAUAAUUCCCUACACCUGCAGGUGCUCAAUUCCCAAGGGUAAGGAAAGCACCGGGCAUGCGGAAAGUCCACGCUGAGAGAAGGAUCAUGGGAAAGAGGUGAGCCUAAAAGCAAGGUUAAAGGCCCUUUUUUUUUUUGCUGUCUUCUUUUGCUCUCUUUUCUCUCUUCGACCUUCAGGUGCCUACUUUGGUCUCUUUCAAGCAAAUUUUCCUUUCUUUCCUGUUCUAAAGCCUUUUUAGUGAACUUUCACUCCUGUUCUGAAGCUUGCCUGGGUCUCUUUUUCUGCUUUAUGCUCCUCAGCCGAAUUCUUUCUUUGGAGUAGGCAAGGACUGAAGUUGCUGUGGACGCAUAUGGAUUCACUGCUGGUCAUGUGGGGUAACUCAGAUCUCUUUCACCAGUAACAGCCCAGAGAAGCUAAGCCACUUGCCAAAGCUCACACAGCACAGUGGCAGAGCAGGGAUAUAUCCCAAAAGAGAUCUAUUUGCAGAGCCUGAGCCCCUAAUCAUUAUGCUAUACACCAUCUCUCAUAGUCAAUACUGUAUUUUCUCCGAUGCAUUUGAAUGAUUGUCCACAUCAGGCAGACAAGUUUUAUUUCUUAUAGGCUGCAAUCUUACGUGAUCUGGGCCCUGCAGACCUCCUUGGCCUCAUCUCAAAUCACUCUGUUCUUCACUUCAGGCACAUUGAUCUUUUUCUUAAACAUGUCAAGCCUGUCCCUGCCUUUGCUUAAAGCCUUUGCAUUUGCUGUUCCUUCUUCCUGGAAUGCCGUUCCCCCAGAUCUUUGCUGGAUGCAUUGUUUUUUUUUAGGCGGAUUUUUGCUCUCAUUGCCCAGGCUGGAGUGCAAUG